UCGGGGGUGCUGAAGCCGUAGCCAUUCUGGUCGAUGCCAGAAUAGGCACCACGGAUGGCAUCACCUUUUGGACAAAAUUGGAAAAAAAAUUUUACAGGCCGGACUUGCCAGUCCAGAAGAGAGCCGCUUCACUUCGGAGUCCUGCAGGUCGUUCCCACUCAGAUCAAGCUCCUUCAGGUGAGAGGUGUCGCAGCUGAGGACUGAGGCCGAAUCCGCACCGCAUUUCUGGAGAUUGCACUCAUUUAACCUGCACGGGAGGAUAUGGUUUGUGCUAGGGGUGUAACGAUACAUCAGUCUGGAUCGAUACAUCGCUUCAGUCCUCAGCAAUCC